rnacentral:tRNA from 1 species
ACUAUUGUAGUUUAAUAAUAAAAUUGACAACUUGUAAUUGUCAGAUAAUGAUAGUAA